rnacentral:sRNA from 1 species
GUACACAGUUGUGUAACCGGUAAAGAUAGUGGACAGUAUUGACCCCAAAAGGUUGCUUCAUAACCCAUCCUUGCAGUCAACCCCCACCCUACCCCACCCCCUGGGCCCCACAUCAGAUAACCACCCACCUACCUUCUGACCUUGUGGUUUUGCUGUCAGAGAUGGACGGAAUAGUACAGUCGCUCCACAUGGUGCACAUGUUGCCGAUGAUCCUCACCUGUGUUGUUUCCCAAAUUUAGACUUUGUUCCUUUCAAACCCAGGUGGUUUGGAAGAAUUAGAUGACUCCAGAUAGUUUUAGAAAACUCCAUCUGACUUCUCUACAGACAGAGGAGAGCAGCCGGAACACUGACGGAGAAUUUGAGGACUUGGCUAGGAAUGCCAUCUUCAGAAUUCUGACCUCUCAGAGCCCAGAGAGAACCACAAGCUGGGGACUGCACUUUGUUAGGUAGCCUGAAGACCCAUCCAAAAUACCAUGGAAGGAGGGCAUUGAACAUGCAGGUAAGCAGUGUAUUCAAAAUGUCCAAAAGAAGGAGGUAUUUUACUGAUGGGCCACAAGACACCAGGGGUCCUUUCAAGCUAUAGUGUAUGUCAAGUGAAUGGAGGCAGCUAGUAAGGGGGUCCGUUUAUGGAAUUACAUUUAGAUCAUGGAUUCAGGCCCUAGACAAAAAGAAGACAGGGCCCUUAUCAAGCAGGAGGAUAUAAACUAAGAGAUCAAGAUUCAUUUACAGAGAAGGUAGGUACCAAGAUGUGAUUGACUGCCACAGUGCAAAUGGCUUCCUUUGGUUUACCAUUAGGUCAAGCUGAAACCCCAUGUCAUCAAGGUCCUUGAUGGGGGUGAGAGAGAUGCUCAGUGGGGUAGAAAGUGGAAACAAUAGGAAAGCCUGAACUCUACACCAUCAGUGGCCUUGGAGUUCCCAUCUUCAGUUGACAAACACCAAAUGCAGAUUUGCACAAGGUUAGUGGAUAGGCAGGUAGGAUGUGCAUAUUGACAGUCUUCUCGAGACCUCAGAGGAUUGCAGCAAGAUGCUGGGUGGGGGACUAUAAUACCCAUAUCAAAGGUGCCCAGGAGCACCUUAAAGGGAGAACUGCAUAGAUCCUCUAGCCCACCAAGGAACCCUAAGCAGUUGAGUAUAGUUGAACUAUAGUUCAAGGAGACUGGGAUUUUGUAGAGCAGUUGGCACAGACAAUUAUCAGGUGCUUUUCUUCUGAGCACUAACAUCUCUGCGUAUCUAUAAACUUCUGGUAGUCAUAGGGAACUUCUACAACAGGGGCCAUCACUCUCCAGGGAAACUCACUGGGCAACAUGGAGACUAUCCUGUUGUGUCUGCAUGAUCUUCCCUGGAGAAGGCUUUGGGCUUUAAUGUCAGACAGAAAUAGUUGCCAAUUUUUACUUUACUUCUUAUGAAUUGAGCUUGAACAAAUGCUACAGACCCACUGAUGCAGUUUCCUCAGGAUGAUUCUUACCUGAUUGGGUUGCUUUGGUGGGUUUUACAUUGUAUAGUUAUUCACUAAUAUAAUGUAACACGAACCUCUCAUAUUUAGUCGCAUACAAAAAUUAUGUGUGCAGAACUGUGGAUCAGGAAUUUGGACAGAACAGCAAGCGUGGCUACUUGCCUCUUACCUGUACCAGUUAUUUUUCUCACUGUGCGACAAAUUCCUCACGUAGCAGCUUAAUGGAGGAGGGUUUAUUUUGGUUGUGGUUUCAGGAUGGCAUUGUCCUUCAGAAAGGAGAACAUAUGGCUCAGGCUAUGGAUGUGGGUGGGUACAGCUGUUGCUUAUCCCAUUGCGGCAGAUCAGGAUGUAGACGAUGAGAACAGAAGCUGACAUAGGCAUCUGCAAAGCCCAUCCUCCAUGACCCCUCUCCACUGACUAGACCUCAGCCAUCUUCCCAAACAACUCUUUGGCUGGGAUCAUGAGUUUCAAACCAUACCACUCCACGAUGCGAGUCUAUUAGUAGAGGGGGAUACCUGAGACUAGGUAAUUUUAUAAGAGUUUACUCAUCUCACAGUUCUAUAUGUUUUGCUGUUUCCAUGAGGCCUCAUUUUGAGAAACCCAGCAUUUCUGGGACCUACCUUAGUUCCUUUGGAGUGGAGCUUCUGGUGACUUCCCAUAGAGUCCCACACCUCUGAAAAAUACCAUGAGGAACAAUCCUUUCGUACAACAGCCCUGAGAAGACAAACCACAUGUAAACCACUUGCAGGGGUCAGCAAGAUGCCUCAACAGAUAGAGACGCCGUGAAGCCCGAUGACCAGAAUUCAAGUCCACGGCGUCCACAUGGUAGAAGUCAAGAGCUGACUCUAGAAGUUUGUCUUCUGACUACCACACACACGCUGUGCCACGCCUGUCUCCCUCCCCAGGGAAUGAGUAAGUAGCGGGAAAGCAUCGAACCACUUCCAAACCAUUGCACUCUCUCGAUCUGAACACCCAGGCUAGGGUCUUAGACACUGAGCAUUAAGGCUUCUCAGUUACAAGGUGGGGGCUUCCAAGUUAGUAGGACAAUGGACUCAUACGAUGCCAGGACCAUGGCAGGUGCCCACAGUCAGUGGGGCUUUCUUUUAUCACGACCAUCAUCUGGAGACACAUGAAUCAGAUCAGUUCUUCUGUGGCCUCUUGGCGGUGUACCGAUUCUGCCUUUUUUACUUGUGGCCUGGAGAAAUAGCGAUUCCCAACUUCCUAAGGCAGUAUUUCAAGAUUCACUGACUGUGUGUGUACCUGUGAUUCUCAAGUGUGCCUACCUACCGCCAUCAGUAAAUGGUGGCAAAGAGUAUGACCUGUUCUCAUCGGAACUCAUGUUGAAGUUUAAUUCCAGAUGCAAGAAAAGCCAUCAGUGUCCCCUGUUCUCCACUGUCACAAUAUUAGUUUGUCUGCCCUGCCUCACACUGCCCACCAUGAUGCAGGGGACCCACUGAAGUCAUCAACGAAGUAAGUCUUUCUCUCACUUAAAUUGUUUCUGUCAGGCGUUUUCUCAGAGCAGUGGACAAAAUGAGUAAUAAAAAUUGGGUUGAGUUUGUUCUCUUGAAGAGUUGGCUACAAAAAACAAAAAAAACAAAACAAAAACUAAGCUUCUUUCCUUGCCACCUCUUAUGUUCUUCAUGUGUGUCCCCCCUCUCACCCUUCCCCUUCUCUCCGUUAGCUUCCGCCUGACACGUGAUGCAGCCAGGGAACCCUCACUGAACCUUCUAGCCAUCAGAAUCGGGGCUCAGGUUCCAGAGCUGGUGUCACAUACCCUUGCCUCAGCCUAGAGGUUUGCCUAUCAGGAAACAAGGCUGGCACCUUCUACAGCGGGUUCUGGGAUUUAGGAUUAGCCAGGAAUCAGCACAGUCUGGGAGAGCAAUGGAAGAUCACAGUAUUCACGAACAAGGACAGAUUGACCCGGGACAGGACACAGAACAUACUGUUCCGAGCCAUGGAGCAGAGAAAGGUUUCUCAGUGUCUACCCCACAGACUGGCAGCAUCUAUCCCUCUUUUCGGUGACAGAACUCUUGACUGCCACAAGUCAUGCAGCUGACUUUCCUGCCUUCAGAGGAGUCACGGGUUAACAUGCCUAGACUGCGAUGGAUGAGCCUCAUCUUGGGAAAAUCACCCUCAUGACCACGAGAUCUCCCCUGCCAGGAGGAGCAACAGUGUGGCAUAAAGUUAACCAUGAUCCUAGGAGUCACACAGCCCAGGCUCAAACAUGACUUCUUGUUUCCAGCUGAUCAGUCCGUCUUAGAUGUGAUGUGAUCAGCUGCCUUAAACUCCUGUAGAUUUGACUUCCUGGCUGUGACCGUCUUCACCUUGAACUGAACUGACAACCUCUCCCUCAUGGAGGACUCCCAGCCAGCCAGUAUCAGCCACGGAUGCUCGCCCUAGCAUCUCUCAAGCCCUUGCUGGGAUAUUGUGGGUCACUAGACUGCAGAGCGACAGCAGAGGUGUGUGGCCAUUUCUUGCUCGUGGUGGCAAAUGCAGGGUGCAGGACUUCUAUGGAGAUGCUCGGCUUUUCUGGGUACACUGCUUCUCAUUGUGUAAAUACGAAAUGUCCUCCAGAAGCCAUGUUUGAACCCUUAAGCCCCACGUGGUGACGGCGGGAAGGCGACAGAACCAUUAGGGUGCUGCUUUGCUGGAAGUGCUUCAUCGCUUGGCUUUGGUAUUUUAGUUGGCAUUUGUCUAUUUUUACUUUAUAUUUUCUUUCUCUGCUUCCUGGGUGUGAACGAAAUGGGAUCACUCUGCUCCCUGGCUGCCGAGCCAGCCUCUCGUUCCGGCAUUGGUGUGCUUUCCCCGCUAGGAUAGACUCUACGUCAUCUGGAACUGUAAGCCAGAAUAAACCAUUUCUUCGGCAAGCUACCCUGUUGUAGUAAUUGUUAGAAAAGAAUCUAGCAUGGCAUUAGCGGGUACAUUCAUCUCAGCAGCUGCCUGUCCCAGGGUACCCUGUCAUGCUACCCCCAACUAUUUCCUGUCCCCAGCGGUCUGUCCACCCCAGGUAGUCGCAUGCCAUGGCCGCCCCUUCCUGGCUGGCUCUCUGCCUCGAACUCUGCUCACAUUCCCUGUAACCUGGUAAAAUCGAGACCCAAAAAGCUUAUUAAUUUAGCAAUCAGAUUUAUAUGUUGAAUUUUCAAUCCACAAUACAUCCACACAAUAAACUCAGAGCCGAGUGA